rnacentral:rRNA from 1 species
CUUGUAAACUCCUGUCAUUGAAGAACAAAAUACGUAAGUUAACUGCUUAUGUGUCGAUAGUAUUCGAAGACGGAAGGGACGGCUAACUCUCGUGC